rnacentral:rRNA from 1 species
AUGUAUAAAGAAAAGAAGGAGAUUCUUUGUACAGUGGUUCAGAAUUGUAGGACACCUGAUGGUUGUGCAUCAAACUUUUCGAGGUGUGUGAACAUGAAAGAAUUGACAUUGACUGGCCUCAAAAGCCACGACUGCCAUGUUAUUCUACAAGACAUCCUUCCUGUGGCACUUUUACACUGUUAUCCCAGUAAAGAUGUCAUGACAAUAGUUGUUGAGCUGGCUAAUUUCUUCAAGAAGCUAUGCUCCAAAGUGUUAGAUGUCUCUGAGCUUGACAAACUGCAAGAGAGUAUUGUGAAGACACUUUGUAAUAUGGAAAAGGUUUUUCUUCCAUCGUUUUUUACUGUCAUGGUACAUUUAAUGGUGCAUUUAGUUGAAGAAGCUAAACUUGGUGGCCUGGUGCAUUACAGGUGGAUGUACCCUCUAGAGAGAUCAUUUGUUUGGCUAAAGUCACUUGUGCGCAAUAGAGCUUAUCCUGAAGGUUCUAUUGCUGAAGGAUAUACUGUUGAAGAAUGCUUGACCUUUUGUUCAAGAUUUCUAGAAGGAACCACACGUUUCACAAGAACAUCUAGGAACCCUGAUCCUUCAGAUAAUACAAAGGGCAUGUACAUGUUUGAUAGUGUUGGUGAGCCAAUUGGAAAGGCUGUCACUAUAGGCCAGUUGGACGAUCAGCUUCUAGUUCAAGCACAUAGAUAUGUCUUGCGACACUCUGAUGAGCUUGAUGAUCUUCGUAGAGAAUUUCUGGACCAAGAGAAGAGGAAACCGGGUAACUUAAAUUUGACGGAUGAUGACAAUGAGGAUUUGAUUAGUAGACACUUUGCUGACUGGUUGGAACAAAAGGUUAUACCAGAUGAUGGACUGGAUAUCACAGAAAAGAUAAGAGCAUUAGCCGUAAAACCAAGCAAAUGCGGGGUGCGCUAUAGUGGCUAUAUAAUUAAUGGUUUCAGGUUUCAUACUAUCAGUCGCGAGACAGGACACGUGACACAAAAUAGUGGUGUCGUGAACCUUGCUAAAAAUGGCGUGUCCUAUUAUGGUCGGUUAUCUGACAUCUUCGAAUUGUCAUACAAAGAUUACAAGGUGGUCUUCUUUAAAUGUGAUUGGGUAGAAGUUAGAGGAUGA